rnacentral:rRNA from 1 species
AGAGUUUGAUCCUGGCUCAGGAUGAACGCUGGCGGCGUGCUUAACACAUGCAAGUCGAACGAAGAUGCCGGAGUGCUUGCACUUUGGCAGACUGAGUGGCGGACGGGUGAGUAACGCGUGGGUAACCUGCCUUAUACAGGGGGAUAACAGUUGGAACGACUGCUAAUACCGCAUAAGCGCACGGUAUCGCAUGAUACAGUGUGAAAAACUCCGGUGGUAUAAGAUGGACCCGCGUCUGAUUAGCUUGUUGGUGAGGUAACGGCCACCAAGGCGACGAUCAGUAGCCGGCCUGAGAGGGUGAACGGCCACAUUGGGACUGAGACGACGGCCCCAAACUCCGUACGGGGAGGCA